UACCUUCAUGGCAGAGUUCUUCAUCGGUUUAAACUGUGAAAUUUGAUUUUGGAACCGGAAUUCAAAAACGGGAUUUAAAAUCAAUUUUACCAAUUUGGGGGUCAAGAUUACUGCUUGCCCUUCCAGCUCCGUAGGAAGAAAUCUCAAGUUUAAAGUUAGUUAUGAAGAUAUGUUGCGGCAAAAGUACUAUGGCAACCCUUGUACUAGGCAUUAGACUGUAUUUUGUCUUCUUUACUCAAAAAAUUGGUAAAUUAAUCUUUCCAUUUCUAUUAAAAAUUUUAUUCACUUGUACUAUUUAAAA